rnacentral:lncRNA from 1 species
GUAUUUGUCAUUUGUUGACAAUUAUUCUCACGAUUAACACGUAUUGUUUUACAUUUAAAAGAUGGCAGUGGAUUUAAGAAGUAACAAAAAAUGUAUUUUCUUAGUAACGCGAAUUAUCAAAUAACAGUCGCAAAGUUACCGUCAAAUCGUCAAGUUCUAGCAGUACUUUUGUUUAACAAUCGCGAAGUGAAAUUGUCUGUUAGUGAAAGCGCUAAUCUCGUCAUUCGAGAGUGUAUUGUAUAUUGAAAAAAAGCUAGAAUCCCUACCAGAGCUAUACCUAACUAGGUAAAAAAACUUGUUGAUCUUCACCAUGCUUGGUUUGCUUUGAUUAUUUGACAUAACGCACGCUGAUGCUUUAGAACGGAUUAAAAUUGAAGAAGACAAAAUAUUUUUACAAAAUCAAUGAGAACCAGGGCGUCCAGGAUGUUUAGCGGGUGUAGACAAAGAGUUGGCCGAAAAAGAAGAAAGGGCAAGACAAAGCAAAUUAAAUGAAGAUAAAAAAAGAUGUGAGCAAAUGUAUUAUGGAGGUUUAUCGUCAUCUGUUAGAACGCAACAUGUUAUCCAAGCGGAGAGACAUCAAAAACAACUCUAAUGAAAGUUUUGAGGACCACUUGGCAUCCACCUCUCAAACGGAAAAUCAUUAAAGUGAAUUUGUGUCUGUCAAGAGCACAAAUUUAUUUAGUUGGUUAAAAAUUGAUGGGCCGUUCCUUCAGACACCCAUUUCUAUAUGGGAUGACGUGGGGGAUGGAGUGUUACCUAUACAGAAGCAAAAAGGAAAGUGCCUUCUUUAAGGGCUGUUAAUGAUACGGCUAUAAGGAGCUGUAAAACUUAUGCAAAAUCUUAGUGGUUGUUGGCAAAGGAAGAGCAAAAUCAAUUUUUGCUUCGUUGUGUUUAGGAGCAUAGAACUCUGUACCCGGACUGUAAAAUGAGACAUAUCCUAAAAAAACUAUCCUGCCUUAUCUGUAAUUUUAUCUUUUAAUAAAUAUUUUAUAGAAAAUUGAGUAUUUCAAUUUAUUCAGUUAUAUAACGGAAAGGGUCAAAAACCGCAAUUUUUUAAAUCUUCCGGGCCCUGUCGGCACGGGUUAACGUUGACGUAGGAAGAUCAAAUUUUGUAUUUAAGUUAGUCUAGGUAGUCUAAAAAGAAAUAGGGGGUAUGCGUUUUAAUAUCUAAAAAAAAUUUUUUUUUGCCCAUAUAAGGGACACCCUAUUAAAUAUGCCCAGAGAAACAUCGUUUGUCUGCUGCUUACUGCUGCGUACUUUAUGAUGACAUUGGGAUGGGGGGGUCUAGAUGGUGAUUACGUCAGCAGAAGUUUUUUACACAUCCAUACGUUGCCUAUGUUUAAAAACGAAUAUUCUUUUCCCAAAAAUUCCCAAUUUCCCAAAAAUAAUAUUAGGUUGGGGAAAAGUAAAACCAUCCUUUUUACGUGAAAUUGAAGGCUUCACUUAACGUUGAUUGAUUUAGAUCAAAUAUACACCAGUUUUCCAACUGAAGAAAUAAAGAAUUGUGUAUAUUUUUAAGAGCUUUGCUUACUUUUGCUAAGAAGGAGGUAUGAGCGGUAAAUAAUUGUAAUAAAUCUGCUUACGUAAUACUUGAACCGCCCCUUAGUAUAUGCCUAUCUCAAAAUAUAUAUCAUAUAAAUAUGUGUUUUUGUGUUAUUUAUACCUAAAAUUACGCAGAAUGUUAAAUAUCAGUGCGACGCCAGGUCUUGCAAUUUCUAAGACGUGUUUUGAAUGUAUAACACAAUAUGUUAUAAAACGGUUAUAUAUUUAACAUGGUUUAUUAGUGUGAACAUUUAAAGAUGUACAGUCGUGUUUUAUGUUGCAAUGUUAUAUAGUGUGGAUGUGUAUAACAUGUAGCAUACGUUAGGUAUAGAACAUGUUACAUAAUAUGGACUGACAUUUUUAAGGCACUACAAAAACAGAAUAGAUAGGUGAAAAUAAUUUACAUACACAUGUAGUAUAAAAUAUUAAAAUUAUCCUAAUACAAUAGUUACAAUAAGUUGACUGCCUGUAUCAACUUCAAUAAAAUUUUUAAUAUGA